rnacentral:rRNA from 1 species
AUUGAACGCUGGCGGCAGGCCUAACACAUGCAAGUCGAACGAGUGGCGGACGGGUGAGUAACGCGUAGGUAACUACCUAUUAGAGGGGGAUAACUAUUGGAAACGAUAGCUAAUACCGCAUACUAGUAGAUGGACCUGCGUUGUAUUAGCUAGUAGGUAGGGUAAUGGACUACCUAGGCAACGAUACAUAGCCGACCUGAGAGGGUUAUCGGCCCAUCUGUGACUGAGACCCGUCCCAGACUCCUACGGGAGGCAGCAGUAGGGAAUCUUCUGCAAUGGGGGGAACCCUGACCGAGCAACGCCGCGUGAGUGAAGAAGGUUUUCGGAUCGUAAAGCUCUGUUGUUAAGGAAGCGGUACUUAACCAGAAAGGGACGGCUAACUCCGUGCCAGCAGCCGCGGUAAUAC